rnacentral:rRNA from 1 species
CACGUAGUUAGCCGGGGCUUCUUAAUCAGGUACCGUCAUCUUCUUCCCUGCUGAUAGAGCUUUACAUACCGAAAUACUUCUUCACUCACGCGGCGUUGCUGCAUCAGGGUUUCCCCCAUUGUGCAAUAUUCCCCACUGCUGCCUCCCGUAGGAGUUUGGGCCGUGUCUCAGUCCCAAUGUGGCCGGUCACCCUCUCAGGUCGGCUACUGAUCGUCGCUUUGGUGGGCCGUUACCCCGCCAACUGGCUAAUCAGACGCGGGUCCAUCUUAUACCACCGGAGUUUUUCACACACUACCAUGCGGUACUGUGCGCUUAUGCGGUAUUAGCAGUCAUUUCUAACUGUUAUCCCCCUGUAUAAGGCAGGUUACCCACGCGUUACUCACCCGUCCGCCGCUCAGUCAUGCAGGAUUCCAUCCGAAAACUUCCUCCUGUAUGCUUCGCUCGACUUGCAUGUGUUAGGCACGCCGCCAGCGUUCAUCCUGAGCCAGGAUCAAACU